AUGGAGGAGCCGAUGCCCAGACUCACCCACGACCUAAUGGCGGAGAUCCUCUCUCGCGUUCCCUACAAAUCUCUCUGCAUCUGCAAGUGCGUCUGCCCGGCCUGGCGCCACCUCAUCGCCGACCCCGUCUACAGGAAGAAGAUUGUGCAGUCCCUGUCCGGCUUCUUCUACCACACCACCGCCAAACGCGAGGCCGACUCUGCCGAGCCCCGCGGCUUGGCCGUCAACUACGCCGAUCUGUCGGCCUCCCCUUGGGCGAGCGUCCCCAGGACCUACCCGCGCCUGCCACUGCCGCCUGACAGCACGGAGUGUUUCUUCACUCUCGAGGAUUCCUGCGAUGGGCUGUUUCUUACCCGCAUUCGGACGGGCACCCCGGAGCUACAGUUUCGCUACAUGGUCUCCAAUCCAGCUACCAGACAACUGUUUUAUAUCAACUCUGACGACCGUGAAGAAGGAUAUGGCUCGCCCCCAUUUUCAACUGUAUCUGUCUACGUUCUAGUAGUGGGAUUUAUAACUGGGAUGUGUCUCAUUUGGAUGACGGAUGCACGCAUUGGAUAUUGUUGCACAAGCUUUCAAAUGUGA
rnacentral:rRNA from 1 species